GAUGAAGAACGUAGCGAAAUGCGAUAAGUAAUGUGAAUUGCAGAAUUCAGUGAAUCAUCUAAUCUUUGAACGCACCUUGCACUCCUUGGUAUUCCGAGGAGUACGCCUGUUCGAGUGUUAUGAAGCUCUCAAAACGCAAUUGGCUUAAAACCUGAUUGUUGUUUUGGAUUUGAACUUUGCCGUGUUAUAACGGCUGGUUUUAAAAGUAUUAGCUGGUACUAGAACGAAUUGGUUCUACUCAACGUGAUAAUUAUCUGAUCGUUGAGGACAUUCCUUUCACGAGGAAUGGCCAUAGUAAAUUCAAUGGACUGCUUCUAAUCUGGCUUUAAUUCUUUAUUGGAUUAACCACUUUUCAAAUCUGACCUCGAAUCAGGUGGGACUACCCGCUGAACUUAAGCAUAUCAAUAAGCGGAGGA
rnacentral:misc_RNA from 1 species